rnacentral:lncRNA from 1 species
CAGAGGAGGAAUAUUCUAGUGGAAGAAGGCGAUCCCCAUAUUCUCCAAAAGCAGCAACAUAUGUCGUGUGCGUUUAUCCUACGUCCGAUCAGAAAACAAAGAAAAAUACCAAGGACCCUUUGAGAGCAAGAGAACGAAAAGGAUUAUUUUUAUAAAAAUAAUUAUUUCAUGAAAAAUAAAAAUUUAAGAGAGCAAAAAAUUUUAAAAUUUCUUAAAAAAAUUUAUGAUUGAAAUUCUACAAAAUAUAAUAUAAUAUUA